rnacentral:rRNA from 1 species
GAUGAACGCUGGCGGCGUGCUUAACACAUGCAAGUCGAACGAAGCACUUUAUUUGAUUUCCUUCGGGACUGAUUAUUUUGUGACUGAGUGGCGGACGGGCGAGUAACGCGUGGGUAACCUGCCUUGUACAGGGGGAUAACAGUUGGAAACGGCUGCUAAUACCGCAUAAGCGCACGGCAUCGCAUGAUGCAGUGUGAAAAACUCCGGUGGUAUAAGAUGGACCCGCGUUGGAUUAGCUAGUUGGUGAGGUAACGGCCCACCAAGGCGACGAUCCAUAGCCGACCUGAGAGGGUGACCGGCCACAUUGGGACUGAGACACGGCCCAAACUCCUACGGGAGGCAGCAGUGGGGAAUAUUGCACAAUGGGCGAAAGCCUGAUGCAGCGACGCCGCGUGAGCGAAGAAGUAUUUCGGUAUGUAAAGCUCUAUCAGCAGGGAAGAUAAUGACGGUACCUGACUAAGAAGCACCGGCUAAAUACGUG